rnacentral:rRNA from 1 species
UACAGAGGGGGCAAGCGUUGUUCGGAAUUACUGGGCGUAAAGGGCGCGUAGGCGGCCCGCUAAGUCGAACGUGAAAUCCCCGGGCUUAACCCGGGAACUGCGUCCGAUACUGGUGGGCUUGAAUCCGGGAGAGGGAUGCGGAAUUCCAGGUGUAGCGGUGAAAUGCGUAGAUAUCUGGAGGAACACCUGUGGCGAAAGCGGCGCACUGGACCAUAACUGACGCUGAUGCGCGAAAGCUAGGGGAGCAAACAGG